GUCACUUUUUCAUUUUUUUCUUGGCGUACCUUAUCCAGGGGUUGGUUUUUAAGUUUUCGUCUUUGCAGCCACAACACUUUUAUAUUGGUUUUUAUUUGAAUUAUGUUCCCUUUUAUGGUUUUGCAAAAUUUUCACCACGUUUUUUUUUGUUUUUGUAUAUUUUCUACACGCACAUCAAUUAAGUCUUCCAACCUUGAAUGCAAUUUUUGUU
rnacentral:lncRNA from 1 species